rnacentral:rRNA from 1 species
GACGUAGGGCGCGAGCGUUGUCCGGAUUUAUUGGGCGUAAAGAGCUCGUAGGCGGCUCGUUGCGUCGGCUGUGAAAACCCGCAGCUCAACUGUGGGCUUGCAGCUGAUACGGGCGGGCUGGGAUUCGGUAGGGGAGACUGGAAUUCCUGGUGUAGCGGUGAAAUGCGCAGAUAUCGGGAAGAACACCCGUGGCGAAGGCGGUUCUCUGGGACGGUACUGACGCUGAGACGCGAAAGCGUGGGGAGCGAACAGG